UACGUAGGGGGCUAGCGUUGUCCGGAAUCAUUGGGCGUAAAGAGCGUGUAGGCGGCCCGGUAAGUCCGCUGUGAAAGUCCAGGGCUCAACCCUGGGAUGCCGGUGGAUACUGUCGGGCUCGAGUCCGGAAGAGGAGUGUGGAAUUCCGUGGUGUAGCGGUGAAAUGCGCAGAUAUCAGGAGGAACACCAAUGGCGAAGGCAGCACUCUGGGACGUGACUGACGCUGAGACGCGAAAGCGUGGGGAGCAAACA
rnacentral:rRNA from 1 species